rnacentral:rRNA from 1 species
GAUGAACGCUGGCGGCGUGCCUAAUACAUGCAAGUCGAGCGAACAGACGAGGAGCUUGCUCCUCUGACGUUAGCGGCGGACGGGUGAGUAACACGUGGAUAACCUACCUAUAAGACUGGGAUAACUUCGGGAAACCGGAGCUAAUACCGGAUAAUAUAUUGAACCGCAUGGUUCAAUAGUGAAAGACGGUUUUGCUGUCACUUAUAGAUGGAUCCGCGCCGCAUUAGCUAGUUGGUAAGGUAACGGCUUACCAAGGCAACGAUGCGUAGCCGACCGGAGAGGGUGAUCGGCCACACUGGAACUGAAACACGGUCCAGACUCCUACGGGAGGCAGCAGUAGGGAAUCUUCCGCAAUGGGCGAAAGCCUGACGGAGCAACGCCGCGUGAGUGAUGAAGGUCUUCGGAUCGUAAAACUCUGUUAUUAGGGAAGAACAAAUGUGUAAGUAACUAUGCACGUCUUGACGGUACCUAAUCAGAAAGCCACGGCUAACUACGUG